rnacentral:rRNA from 1 species
UACGUAGGUGGCAAGCGUUGUCCGGAAUUAUUGGGCGUAAAGCGCGCGCAGGCGGUUCUUUAAGUCUGGUGUGAAAUCUCGCGGCUCAACCGCGAGCGGUCAUUGGAAACUGGAGAACUUGAGUGCAGAAGAGGAGAGCGGAAUUCCACGUGUAGCGGUGAAAUGCGUAGAGAUGUGGAGGAACACCAGUGGCGAAGGCGGCUCUCUGGUCUGUAACUGACGCUGAGGCGCGAAAGCGUGGGGAGCGAACAGG